rnacentral:rRNA from 1 species
GAUGAACGCUAGCUACAGGCUAAACACAUGCAAGUCGAGGGGUAACGAGAGGAAAGCUUGCUUUCCUUGUCGACGACCGGCGCACGGGUGAGUAACGCGUAUCCAACCUGCCCCCAACUAGGGAAUAACCUUGCGAAAGUAAGACUAAUACCCUAUAAUUUCCUCAGAUGACAUCUGACGAGGAAUAAAGAUUUAUCGGUUGUGGAUGGGGAUGCGUCUGAUUAGCUUGUUGGCGGGGUAACGGCCCACCAAGGCAACGAUCAGUAGGGGUUCUGAGAGGAAGGUCCCCCACAUUGGAACUGAGACACGGUCCAAACUCCUACGGGAGGCAGCAGUGAGGAAUAUUGGUCAAUGGGCGAAAGCCUGAACCAGCCAAGUAGCGUGCAGGAUGACGGCCCUAUGGGUUGUAAACUGCUUUUAUACAGGAAUAAAGUUAGCCACGUGUGGUUAUUUGUAGGUACUGUAUGAAUAAGGACCGGCUAAUUCCGUGCCAGCAGCCGCCGUAA